UGAUAAUUAGUUUAAUAUAAAACAAGUGAUUUCGACUCACUAGAUUAUGGGCUUCUAUAAUUAUCAA
rnacentral:tRNA from 1 species